CCUACGGGAGGCAGCAGUGGGGAAUAUUGCACAAUGGGCGAAACCCUGAUGCAGCGACGCCGCGUGAGUGAAGAAGUCCUUCGUUAUGUAAAGCUCUAUCAGCAGGGAAGAAAAUGACGGUACCUGUGUACGGCUCCGCGGCUACCUACGUGCCAGCAGCCGCGGUCAUACGUAGGUGGCAAGCGUUAUCCGGAUUUACUGGGGGUAAAGGGCGUGGAGGCGGGGAAGCAAGUCAGAUGUGAAAACCACGGGCUCAACCUGGGGCCUGCAUUUGAAACUGUUUGGCUGGAGUGCGGGAGAGGCAGACGGAAUUCCGAGUGUAGCGGUGAAAUGCGUAGAUAUUAGGAAGAACACCAGUGGCGAAGGCAGUCUGCUGGAAAGCAACUGACGCUGAGGCGCGAAAGCGUGGGGAGCAAACAGGAUUAGAUACCCCUGUAGUC
rnacentral:rRNA from 1 species